GUUAGGAAUUUUGCGCAAUGGGCGAAAGCCUGACGCAGCAACGCCGCGUGAGUGAUGAAGGCCUUCGGGUUGUAAAGCUCUUUUAGCUGGGAAGAAAAAAAUGACGGUACCAGCAGAAAAAGCACCGGCUAACUCUGUGCCAGCAGCCGCGGUAAUACAGAGGGUGCAAGCGUUAUUCGGAAUUAUUGGGCGUAAAGAGCGUGUAGGUGGUUUGGUAAGUCUGAUGUGAAAUCCCUGGACUCAAUUCAGGACGUGCAUCGGAUACUGCCAGGCUAGAGUGCAGGAGAGGUAGGCGGAAUUCCAGGAGUAGAGGUGAAAUUCGUAGAUAUCUGGAGGAACAACAGAGGCGAAGGCGGCCUACUGGACUGCAACUGACACUAAGGCGCGAAAGCGUGGGGAGCAAACAGGAUUAGAUACCCUUGUAGUCC
rnacentral:rRNA from 1 species